GACGAACGCUGGCGGCGUGCUUAACACAUGCAAGUCGAACGGAAAGGCCCUGCUUUUGUGGGGUGCUCGAGUGGCGAACGGGUGAGUAACACGUGAGUAACCUGCCCUUGACUUUGGGAUAACUUCAGGAAACUGGGGCUAAUACCGGAUAGGAGCUCCUGCUGCAUGGUGGGGGUUGGAAAGUUUCGGCGGUUGGGGAUGGACUCGCGGCUUAUCAGCUUGUUGGUGGGGUAGUGGCUUACCAAGGCUUUGACGGGUAGCCGGCCUGAGAGGGUGACCGGCCACAUUGGGACUGAGAUACGGCACAGACUCCUACGGGAGGCAGCAGUGGGGAAUAUUGCACAAUGGGCGGAAGCCUGAUGCAGCAACGCAGCGUGCGGGAUGACGGCCUUCGGGCUGUAAACCGCUUUCGCCUGUGACGAAGCGUGAGUGACGGUAAUGGGUAAAGAAGCACCGGCUAACUACGUG
rnacentral:rRNA from 1 species